CGAACGAGUUCUCGUUGAUGAUCGGUGCUUGCACUGAGAUUCAACAUGGAACGAGUGGCGGACGGGUGAGUAACACGUGGGUAACCUGCCCUUAAGUGGGGGAUAACAUUUGGAAACAGAUGCUAAUACCGCAUAGAUCCAAGAACCGCAUGGUUCUUGGCUGAAAGAUGGCGUAAGCUAUCGCUUUUGGAUGGACCCGCGGCGUAUUAGCUAGUUGGUGAGGUAAUGGCUCACCAAGGCGAUGAUACGUAGCCGAACUGAGAGGUUGAUCGGCCACAUUGGGACUGAGACACGGCCCAAACUCCUACGGGAGGCAGCAGUAGGGAAUCUUCCACAAUGGACGCAAGUCUGAUGGAGCAACGCCGCGUGAGUGAAGAAGGCUUUCGGGUCGUAAAACUCUGUUGUUGGAGAAGAAUGGUCGGCAGAGUAACUGUUGUCGGCGUGACGGUAUCCAACCAGAAAGCCACGGCUAACUACGUGCCAGCAGCCGCGGUAAUACGUAGGUGGCAAGCGUUAUCCGGAUUUAUUGGGCGUAAAGCGAGCGCAGGCGGUUUUUUAAGUCUGAUGUGAAAGCCCUCGGCUUAACCGAGGAAGCGCAUCGGAAACUGGGAAACUUGAGUGCAGAAGAGGACAGUGGAACUCCAUGUGUAGCGGUGAAAUGCGUAGAUAUAUGGAAGAACACCAGUGGCGAAGGCGGCUGUCUGGUCUGUAACUGACGCUGAGGCUCGAAAGCAUGGGUAGCGAACAGGAUUAGAUACCCUGGUAGUCCAUGCCGUANACGAUGAAUGCUAGGUGUUGGAGGGUUUCCGCCCUUCAGUGCCGCAGCUAACGCAUUAAGCAUUCCGCCUG
rnacentral:rRNA from 1 species